rnacentral:rRNA from 1 species
UGGGGAAUAUUGCACAAUGGGCGCAAGCCUGAUGCAGCAACGCCGCGUGAACGAUGAAGGUCUUCGGAUCGUAAAGUUCUGUUGCAGGGGAAGAUAAUGACGGUACCCUGUGAGGAAGCCCCGGCUAACUACGUGCCAGCAGCCGCGGUAAUACGUAGGGGGCUAGCGUUAUCCGGAUUUACUGGGCGUAAAGGGUGCGUAGGUGGUCUUUCAAGUCGGUGGUUAAAGGCUACGGCUCAACCGUAGUUAGCCUCCGAAACUGGAAGACUUGAGUGCAGGAGAGGAAAGUGGAAUUCCCAGUGUAGCGGUGAAAUGCGUAGAUAUUGGGAGGAACACCAGUAGCGAAGGCGGCUUUUUGACCUGCAACUGACACUGAGGCGCGAAAGCGUGGGGAGCAAACAGG